ACAUCCCAAUAGAUGUGGAGACUGUCACGUCAACCCCUGUGCCGCUCUAUGACAAUCAAAAGGCACGCAGCGUGAUGAAUGAGUGUGAACGGCAUGUCAUCUUCGCCAGGACUGAUGCAGAUGCCCCUCCCCCACCAGAGACUGUGAGGAGCAUGUCAACAGGACUGGCUGGACAAUGGCCCAGAACAAGCUAUUCAACAAGAUCCUCAAAGCCCUGCAGUCUGACCGGCUUGCCCACUUGGCCAGUGAAGGGGCUUGUAAUGAGCCAGUGCUGCGCCAUGUUGCUGAGGACAAGUGUGUGAGGAGAGUGCAGCCGGGUCUGGCAAGUGGGAGCUGGGACACCAAGCUGAUCCAAUGGCUGCACACCACCCUUGUGGAGACCUUGAGUCUGCCCAUGCUGCCAGCCUACGUGGAUGCUUUGCAGAUGCUGAAGGGGAAGAUCCCAACUUUGACCAGAUGCUCGUGUCAUCCAACACGAAGACUGGGGCUGCAGGAGCUGAGGCCUUGCCUCUCCUACUGAAGAGGACCUGGGACCCUGCUGUGAGGGUGCAUUCUCAUAACAAACCAAGCAAACUCCCUGGCUCCCCACUGAUUCUCAUCGCUUUCUCUGGUCCCUCCAGCUCUGUUUUCCACUUCAUGCCACCACUGAUUCUGGCCAUCUCAGCUCUCCUGCUUAAGCAAGGUCAUCCCUGUAGCCACCCAUCUGCUGAACAAUGGCAGUGGGGUAGGAGUUCUACAGUGUCUCAAGCAUAUGACUGGGGCAGUGGGAAGCAAAGUGCUGGAGAUUCACAGCCAUUUCCCACACAAACCCAUUAUCUUGAUUGGCUGGAAUACAGGAGCUUUGGUGGCCUGUCAUGUGUCAGUGAUGGAGUACAUCACUGCACUUGUCUGCCUUGGUUUUCCUCUAUUUACCAUGGAUGGCCCCAGAGGGGAGGUAGAUGAUCCCCUCCUGGAUAUGAAGACUCCAGUUCUCUUUGUCAUUGUUCAGAAUUCCCUUCAGUGUCACCCUGAAGCCAUGGAGGACUUUCAGGAGAGGGUUCGAGCUGAGAACAGCUUGGUGGUGGUUAGGGGAGCUGAUGACAAUCUCAGAAUAAGCAAAGCAAAGAAGAAAUCAGGAUUGACUCAGAGCAUGGUGGACAGAUGUUUUCAGGAUGAGAUUGUGGACUUUCUGACUGGAGUGCUCACUCUUGCUGAGGGUCACUUGGGCUCUAAACCUCGGGGUCAGGAUGCGGAAAAUAAGAAGCCCCAUGAUGUGGCCUGCAGAGACUUGGCCUUUGAAGUCCCUGAGCAGGGCAGUCGACCUGCCUCCCCAGCUGCCAAGCUGCCCGCCUCACCCUCAGGCUCAGAGGAUCUCUCCAGUGUGUCCAGCAGCCCCACGUCCAGUCCCAAGACCAAAGUGACCACAGUGACCUCUGCCCUGAAGUCCGGUCGGAUUGAAGCUCUCAGCUGCUGAAGAGACAUGUGCAGUGGACAGAAGCUGUGCUGAUCCACAAACGAGCUCAAGUUCCUAUUUCAUCAGAACCAGUGGAGGAAGGAGAUAAAGAGGAUCUUAGGGUCCAACUGAAGCGACACCUUCCCUUGAGUCCUCUUCCUGGCAGUAAGACCUCCAAGCGACUGAAAAUUAAGGUGCCCCUUAUCUCCCAAGGGGAGCUGGAGGGCCUUGUGCUCCUUCCCAAGGAAGUGCUCCAGAAGGUGGGAAGCCCAUCACCAUGACACUGGGGCAGGCUUCAGCAGGGUCCAAGGAGCUCACAGGGCUUCUCACCACAACCAAGUCCAGUGCUUCUGAAGGUGGAGUCUCAGCCAGCCCAGCCCCUUCAGUGGUCUCCGGCAGCGCUGGACCCAGUGCCUUGCACACACUGCAGAGCCACUUAGCGGUCACCUCUCCUGGAAGCUGCCUCCCAGGUGCCACAUCAGCCAGCAGCCUCCUCCAAGGCCUCAGCUUCAGCUUACAGGAUAUCAGCAUCAAGACCUCUGGCCUUCCAGGAAAUCCCUCCCCAGGACCAGCCCCACAGGCCACCAGUGUGAAGUUGCGUACCCCCAUGCAGAGCCUGGGUGCCAUCAUCACAGGCACCAGCACCAUUGUCCGUACCAUUCCUGUGGCCACCACUCUCUCCUCCUUGGGUGCCACUCCUGGUGGGAAGCCCACAGCCAUCCACCAGCUGCUGACCAAUGGGAGCCUCGCUAAGUUGGCAGGCAGCCUCCCUGGCCUGGCUCAGAUCUCUACCAAGCAUCAGGCUUGAAGGUCCCCACCACCAUUUCUCUGACACUUUGUGGCCAGCUGAGCAGGAUCACCACGCUGAGCCCCAUGGGCUCAGGAGUAGCUCCAUCUGAGGAGCCCCUUUCCCAGGUGCUGCUCUCCAGCUCACAGUGCCUGCCUCCAGCACCCUGAAGAUGCCAUGUGAUAUGUCCUCCUUACCAAGUUGGUGAUGGCUGUCUCGUGGUGUGCCCUGGGCACGUGUGUGGUCCUACUGCGUUGUCCACGUUUCUGGAGACCUCUUUAAGACCGUCAUUUUUUCCCCUCUGCCAACUGUCUUCAGAGUUGGGCGGUUGAGUCUUCAGAGAAACCAUUAGGUUAGGUGAUAUGGCACCAGCGAGGGAAACACCAUCAUCCAGGAUCUGCGAAUCUGGUUCCUGGGCUCCCCAGCCUCCUCAGCAGAUCUGACUGUGCACGGAUCAGAGGCACUUCUUCCCCUGCUUAAGCUGUGGUUUGACCCAAGCGUCAGUAUUGGCCCGCCUGCUGCAUAAGGAAGGUGUUUCCUUUUGGAGGUCUGUGCCACCCUCUGUGCCCAGUUAGGAGGAGACAUCCAUGUGGUAUGGGACUUCUGGGCUUCGGGAGUUAGAAUGGAAAGCCCUUUGCUAAAGA